UCUGAAGGACCAUUUAAAUGCAAAGGGUUGCACACCACUUCUGCCAUGCAAAAGAUUGAAGCAGAAGGUUCAACGGUGAGCUGAAACAGAUCACUACAGCACGACACCUUUCCAUACCACAUUCAUUAUUCCGUCAACAGCAAAAGUAUCCCAUAUCAUCAAGGUCGAACGUACUCUAGAUUUGAUGGACUUGUUUUGACCCUCAAAUUUUU
rnacentral:lncRNA from 1 species